rnacentral:sRNA from 1 species
GCCAGGCGUGGUGGCACAUGCCUGUAAUCCCAGUGACUCUGGAGGCUGAGGCAGGAGGAUCAUGAGUUCAAAGCCAGCCUGAGCAAAAGUGAAGUGCUAAGCAACUCAGUGAGAUCCUGCCUCUA